UAGGAGGAGAUUUAUCUGGAUAA
rnacentral:miRNA from 1 species